UGGACCCUUGAAUUUUUGUCUUUCUUCUCUCAACACGUGUACUGGUAUGUCUUGAGGAAACCACGCGUAUUAUGCAAAACAACACUAUUUGGGUCUCACUUCUCAGUUUCCUGUCUUCACUGUAUCUCCUCUCUCUUUCCUUCUAUCCCUUCUCCUCUCUGUAGCUACGUACAGGGAGCACCAAUUUGUCGAUUAUUCUCAAUUUUAAACCCUAGAUUAUUCUCUAAGUUAUGUAUUUUAUUCAAUGUUCUAAAGAUGCCAAUACAAAAUUGUGAUGAAGCAUCACUACUCAAAAGUGGCAAAGGAUGUCCUACAUCAUUCAGAAGUGUCCUCCCUUGAGAAAGGAUGUCUCUCAUAGUUGGCUUGGCUUGAUUCCGUCGGCAUUCCAUAGUUUGCGGUGAUAUUCCUUUACUUUUGUACCUAUUUAAGGUUUAUUUGGUGGUCACCUUGGCGCGUAGGCGCAACUGUUGAGGGGACUUCAUGGUGAUAUGCAAAUUCCAGGCUACGUAUCGCAGCCCUCAGAGUCUUCAUCGUAUUACUUACUUUAUCCUGUCUUAUUUACAUUUCAGACAUAUGUUGUAUUAUUAUUGUAUGCCUUACUAAAUGCUCAUGCACUUGUGACACCGGGUUCUGGGAUAUUCUAGUUCUAAAAUAAUCACACUAUUUAUUCCAAAAUUGUA